UACGGGGGGUGCAAGCGUUAUUCGGAAUCAUUGGGCGUAAAGCGCAUGUAGGCGGUCAGGUAUGUCAGAUGUGAAAGCCCGGGGCUUAACCCCGGAAGUGCAUUUGAAACUGCCUGGCUUGAGUCUCGGAGAGGAAAGUGGAAUUCCCAGUGUAGAGGUGGAAUUCGUAGAUAUUGGGAGGAACACCGGUGGCGAAAGCGACUUUCUGGACGAUGACUGACGCUCAGAUGCGAAAGCGUGGGUAGCAAAC
rnacentral:rRNA from 1 species